CCCCGCUGCCUUCUCAUCAGGGAGGUCUCAGGUCAACCAUCACCACCCCCAGGAGGCCUUCCUUGGCUGCCCUACCUCAUGUCACUGGCCUCCACUACCAGUCACUGCCACGUUCACUUCCUUUUGUUGCCAUUUAGCACCUGUCCCUGUCUGAAUUGUAUCAUUUAUCUGCUAUUAUUUGUUUAUUCUGUCUCCCUGAGACCAGGGACCUUGUCUGUCUUUAUUACUAUGCUGACCCUGGUGCUUAGCACUUAAUAAAGAAUCAUUAAAAAAAAUGAACGAAGGACACUAAAGGUGGGUAAGAUUGAGGCAGGGCCUGGAUCUGAGUAAAUCUCUUUGUCGAUGGGCCUUACACACUCAAGGGCUCCUUCUCUACCCUGCUCAGGAAACUGAGACUCAGGAUUCAUGGGAGACAGGGGACCUCCUUGGUUAAGAGUUAGGACAUCCCCUUCAGCCCCUGGGAUGCUGUGUUCCAGGUGGGGUGUGUGCUAUUGCUUCUGGGGUGUUGAUGUCCCCACCUUGUCUGCUUCUGCUUCUUUGCAGGCUGUCAUAGAAGUUACUUGGACAACACCACCCACCCCUGGGGAGUGGGGUGAUGGGAACUUGCUUAGUGAUGACAGCAAACAAACAAACACUUUCCCUUUCCCGCUUCUCUCCCGGUAUUCCAGGCAGGAGGGAUAAUGCACUGAUCUGCUGACUUUAAGAAGGAUCCUGUUUUCGGACUGACUUCUUCAAAGGGGUAGCGUCUGCGUUGGCAAGGUGAUUACAGCCCAAGCUCACAGCUGAUUUGGAAAACUUCAGUCCCAAAAGACGACUUUUUUUCCCCCUCCUCUGCAGGAUGCUUUGGCUUGAAACAUCUGGGAUGGGCCAGAAAGGACUUGAAAAGCUUGGAUUAUUCUCUCUUCUGCGUGGACCAGAGAAUGAUCAGGAAGGCCUGCAGCUAAGCCAGCUUUAAAGCCACGGCUGCCCUCUGGUGGUCGAACAUGCAGGAGCAAAUGGGAAGGACGGAAACCCCAGUGGCCAGGAACGAGCUGGCUGAGCCCUCCAUGCUCAGAGACUGGCCGGUGAGCCAGGGAGUAGGUUAUUCUGGGAAGAACACACACCAGCUGAGCCCCACCAAGACGGUCUGCCCCUUAAGCAGCACCAAAGGCUCACAUCUGCUGUCCCUACCAGCUCUGCCUGCUCUGGUGCAACUGGAGAAACUGAAGCAUCUAGGGCCAAAGCCACACAACAAGGGUGAGAAGAGGAGCCCCAGGGGGGAUGGAUGGAGAGAGAGGGCACAGAAGAAGAGGAAGAGAAAGGCAGAGAGGAAGGAGGGAAGGACUGAAGGGAAGGAAAGAGACAGAGGGUAGGAAAAAGAGAGAAGGAAAAGCAGUUGGGUAAGAUGAAAUAAAGUGGUGGAGAGAGAGAAAGUGUUUUAAACAGAAAAAAA